UUAGACUGAUUGGCUAAAAUUCUCCAAAUUACCAAAAACUCCAUUUUUUGACCAUAACUAUUUCAUCAUAUCCUUGAACUCUAGGUGCAAUAGCCAGUUAGCGAGGAAACGAAACGGUCUAUCUUCUCUCCCCAUUUUCACCUUAUCAAUCGAUAAAGUAUUGGACGAUGAUCCAAUUUAAGCUUAUGCAAGUGUCACACCUCUAAAUUUUGUGUGAAGGAUUGCCACUGAUCUUUACAAAAGCCUCGAUCCAAAUGUUGAAAAAGGUUCCAUCUAUUCCAUGUGAAACACGGUCCUUAAAAACCCAUAUCAUAAAAACCAUAUCCAAAAACAAAGAAAUUGAAAUUAUUACAGUUUGCUCUGCGGGAUUUUGAACCCCCUCUUCAUUCCUCACUACACAAAAUUGCAUUCAAAUCCCCUACCAACAUCCAGAGCUCAUUCACUUCUUCC
rnacentral:lncRNA from 1 species